rnacentral:rRNA from 1 species
GUUUGAANNNUGGCUCAGGACGAACGCUGGCGGCGUGCUUAACACAUGCAAGUCGAACGAUGAAGCCUUUCGGGGUGGAUUAGUGGCGAACGGGUGAGUAACACGUGGGCAAUCUGCCCUUCACUCUGGGACAAGCCCUGGAAACGGGGUCUAAUACCGGAUAACACUCUGUCCCGCAUGGGACGGGGUUAAAAGCUCCGGCGGUGAAGGAUGAGCCCGCGGCCUAUCAGCUUGUUGGUGGGGUGAUGGCCUACCAAGGCGACGACGGGUAGCCGGCCUGAGAGGGCGACCGGCCACACUGGGACUGAGACACGGCCCAGACUCCUACGGGAGGCAGCAGUGGGGAAUAUUGCACAAUGGGCGAAAGCCUGAUGCAGCGACGCCGCGUGAGGGAUGACGGCCUUCGGGUUGUAAACCUCUUUCAGCAG